AAGAGUUUAGUUUUAAAAUAGAACCAAAGUGUAUUUACUCUGAGACAAUGAACAAAAACAAUGAAAAAUGUAGUAUUUUAGACAAAAUCUUAAAACAUCGCAACUUUCUAGUGGGAGUAGAGGCCAUUAAAGACUCAAAGAUGAAAUCAAAUCAUCGAGAACCUACAAAAGGUUCAUUUUUAGAACUGAAUUACUUACACACACUUCACCCAAAUUGAUCACAAACCAUUCUGCUAAAAGAGCAAAGCAAGUAGCCACUAUGAUGGAUAGCUAAAAAUACAUAGUUAGCUUUUGAGCGGGCUAAUCAAGCAAAAAGAACAAAAGAAAAAUAAGGAAAACAAGGCAAUGAGACUUAUAAAUUCACACCCAAAUGAGGGAAACAAACGAUACAUGCUGUAAGAAUUUACGAAUGCUCCCUUAUAUAUGACAAAACGAGUUAAGAAAACCUUUAAAAUAGCUUAGCUACUCUAGCUUGCAGAGCAUCUUCUAAAAUAUCAUAUUUCGCUAUUUACCUUAUACAUUGAAUUGUCACUUAUUUACAUCACCCAAAAAGAUGAAUAUUGCACUGUGAGAUAUCACCUCUUAAAGUUGAGCUCCCACAUUGUUUAUCAAAUUGAUUGAGUACAUAUUGACUAAAUUGAUUGAGAAUUUCACUUUAUGAGAACAUAUUUGUUGGUUCUCUGAAAGCACAUUUGUGAACAUGCAUGUACGAUAAAGACCUUAGAAAUGCAUUCAAAGCGCCAUGAGGAAAAUUGAGCUCUCUCAAGUGUUUAUGGAAUGGGUAGAGAACUCUUCCCCGUUAUUAGCUAUUCUUUAUUUGAUAGAUAAGUGCAAAUGUGAUGAGAUAGAUGCAAGUCUCCAUGAGUGUACAGAAGACUUGCAUACAAUUUGGCUCAACUACCUUAGAAAGACAACUCAAAAAGUUUUCAAAACUUGAAAAACCAUAAACACUACUAACAAAAUAGCCAAACACUACUACUUACACAAACAAUUUAUUCUAAAUUGAAUUUUAGCCAAAAGUCCUUAGUUAGCCUGCAAAGUUCAGAUAUUAAAUAAACAAAAAACAACAUAACCAAAUAAACACCAAAUAAAGCCUUAUGCAAAGGAUCGUUCAAAAAACUUAAAAGUAAGGCAAUAUGAAAGUUUUGGAUACUAUCAGAAAGCAUUAAUAUCGACAUAAAUAGUAAAGAAAUAAAGUUAAGCAGAGGGUCAAUUCCUUCAUCAGCGUGGCAAGUUGACUUUUAGAGAGUGGGAGGAUCAGCUCCCCAGUUGGAUUAGGAACGUUAUAAGAACUUCUAUGAGUGCCUUUAUUAUUAUUAUUAUUAUUAUUAUUAUUAUUAUUAUUAUUAUUAUUAUUAUUAUUAUUUUGUCUUCUUCUCUGAUUAAGGAGCUUCAAAGCUAAGGUUUGCCUUCCAAAUCUCAAUCAUGACAUAAUUCAUAGCUGUCUGAACUUAUUGAUCACUGUGCUUCUAAGCCUCUUGAGAAAUCCUCAUCUCUAAGCUAAGUAUAACUCCUUUUUUGUCGUCAACUUCUCCCUUUGGGAUUCCAUCUUAGAGGCUAUCUUCUCUAAAAGCUUCUCUAGAUGAUAACACUUCUUUCUAGUUGAGCUACUUACUCCCUAUAUUUAGUGUGGGUUGAGAGAGCAACAGAGGACUUCCUGGCCAAGUCAUAAUUCUUGGUCAACAUAAAGUAAAAGGUAGCUGAAAAAAAAAAGAGGUUAACUCUCUAUAUUAAGAGAAAGAGGGUUAUGCUUAACAAAACCAAACCAUUGAAGAAAACUUAGAUCUUGACAGUAUAUAAUGGUUGAGGUGAUGCCAUCUAGCAAAGUCUAUUUGUUCAUCACGAUGACAGAGUUAGAAAUAAUAUGAUCACAUGUAAACUGAAAAAAAACCUUUAAAUAUGAGAAAACCUACUGCUUGAAGCAAGAUUUAGAUCUAUGGUUUCUUAGGUGCUCGUGUAGGAGAAGGUUUCAGGAUAUUUUUUUUUCUUUUUAGAGGGUGAUGAAGGAGUCUCAGAAGAUCCCUUAAAGUUGUUCACUAGAGAACAUUAGGAUUUAUCAUCCUGUUUAAGGGUGAGAUGAUAGCCCCUUUGCUAAGAGAAAUGAUAGCUGGUUUGUUCUCAGCUGAGUUAGACAUAAGAUUAGCAAAAACAUACUUGUCCAUAGCCUUUUGCUUACUUUCACUAGAGCUAAAAGGAGGUUCCUUGACUACAAAGUAUGGAGACAACUAUUAACAAUCAAGUAAAAAGAAAGAGAGAGAUAGAGUAAGAGUGAAAAGAUAAAAUAAAUAGAAGAUUGAGAAGGAUAGUUAAAGCAUCCAUAAAAGAUUUAGCGUGCUUAUCAGACAAAUGACGAUCCUUAAUAAGUCUAGAAUUAAGUAGCCUCUCCUCACUCAGUACAUCUUUUUUUUUUUUCAAGAUCAACAAGUCUUGCUUUGCGUGACUACAAAAUCUUGCAUAUCCUCCAUUGGAUUGUCUCUUUUACUCUAUAUAACAAUGAUAAGGGCAUAAGGGUAGCGCAAAUCAGUUUUUAAGUUCAGAAGAUAACUAAAGCAACAAGGAAAGGGCUGAGUUAGGACACCUACUUCUAGAGUUAAAACCAGACCUGACAGGACUCACUUUGCCUUUAUGCUCUAUAACAGAGCCCUAACCAUCUUCUGUUAUGAACCACUCAUACCUGAAACAUUUCUUCAAAGUAAGAAUAAGAGGAACUAGAUUGUUAUCCACUGCCUAGGGAGAGAGAUAUACUGAGUUAGAAGAAUGCAUUCUUGAGUUGAUAGAGUCCCUUAGUGUUAUCUAAGGCAAACUCUUGCUCAAAUAGCUCCCUUCAAUACACAAAACACUCUAUAAUAUUCCUCCAAGUAGAAAAGAUAAAUUGUAUCAGAGCAGCAUUAAAGUAAACAAGUAGCUUCAUAAUAAAUGGCUGAAGAGAUAAUUUUAGGCCAAAAUGAAAUUGGUUAGUAUAAAAGAAGAGUCUAGAGGCCUUUCGUGUACCUUGAGCCUAACCAAAGAGGGAAUAUAAUACUUUCUUACAACAAAGUCUAAAUCUUUUUAGCUACGCUCGAAAGAAAGUAUCUGAUGAUGGGGAGUUUUCAAUUGAGUCAAGAGAGAAACUUAAGUUUCAAAAAAUGGCAAGACCGUUUCCUUUGAAGUUACGACCAUCCCUGGGAGGUUUACACUUCUUUUUAGGUUUCUUAGAAGGUAAACUCUUUUGUGAGUCAGGAGCCAUGGCAUUCUCUUUUUUUUCUCGAGAGUCAUCAUUUGAAUUACUUCUGGAUUCUGUUUAUUUCUCUUUCUCCCUCACAGACUUCUGGGAUUUACCUUCAUCAUUAUCAUCACUCAGUGCGGGGAGAUAAUUAUGCCUAGGGGCAAAUUAAAAAUCGAGAAUAUUCACUAUUGUCCCCAUCUGUCUCAUCAAUAUCCUCCAAAGACAAGAUAAUUGAUCUUUCUCUUCAUAACUAUCACAAGCCAACCGAGUUGCACUCUCGACACAACGCCCAACAUAAACAAAAAAAUGAAAGCAACAGAACAUAGUUUUCGUAAACUAAAAACCAACAAGGCCAAUAAAAAAGAUGAGGGAAAAAAGAGAAAAGUAUCUUAUUUGACUAAGAUUUUAGCAAAUUUAAAGAAUGGGGGAAAAAAGUGAUGAAUCAAGCAAUAAAUUGCCUAUUAAAAAAGUUGUGAUAAUGUAAAAGAAAGAAAAGGGAAAAAAAUAAGAGAAAGGGAGGGUUAAACCUCAGUAUGAAGCACCAAUAAGAGAAGUUGUAAUGCCAAGAUGACGAAUGAUGAACCCUUACACCAUAAUAAGUUUCGUCAUAACGUGCAGUUGUGAAACAAAGUAAACCCUAUAACAAGAAAAGAAUAAGAGGAAGAACAACUCGCUGGAGAGUAGCUUUAAAGAAACCAAAACAAGUCAAAGGCCAAAUAUUAAGAAACAAAGGCUUCAAGCUUGAGGGAAGACAGAGCAAAGCUGGAAAUAAGAUAAAGAAAAGAAAAAAAAAAUCAAUUUUGUGUAAGGAAAAUCGUACAACAAGAGGGAUAACCAUGUGUAAGGGUGAGUUCAUCCUUUGCUCAAAUGGGUUUCAAUCUAACGAUAAUGAGUAGUCAAAAAGGGUUAGGAGAUAAUGAAGUAGUAGGAAAAAAUUUAAGCCAUUGAUAGAAUCCAAGGGCCAAAGAUUAUCCGCUUGUCAGCAACUAAAGUAAGGACAGCUAGAGGCAGCAAUAUAUGCAGUUGAGGAAAACAAUGAGGAUAUGCCACGUGGGUUAUUCAUCAGGCAUUAAAAACCCACUAACUCACUUCCUGAUUUAAAUGAAAG
rnacentral:lncRNA from 1 species